UGUCCCUAUUUAUAGAUCUAUACAAGAUAUCUUAAUAAAGAAAUAAAUAAUUACAGAAUCAUGCAUAAUUGCUCUAAUAUUGUAAAACCCGCAAAAAUGCCAUUUAAGACAUCGCAUGAUUUUCAAAGCACCGCGAUGAGUUUUAAGUGAAAAAUUCAAGGUUGUCGAUUUUCGACGAAAAUAUUUUUAUAAAUUCUAUGCAAAAUUCUAAGAAAUUUGAUAUAUAAAACGUAUAGCUAAUUUCGCCUAGAUUUGGAAUUAAAAUUUAGGGAAAUCUCAUAAUACAUAUUCUAUCCCUAGUGUUUAUUUAAGCUUGAGAUGUUUAAGUGAGGGCAUAUAGGUAAUUAUACAUUUAUGAGAGCAUUUCCACUCUAAAUAGGGGACCGAAUGGUUCGGUCCCCAUUUCUUCAUUUUGGCCGAACCGAACACGAGAGGGAGAAGGGGGCGCAGGUAGGAGGCGAAUCCGGCAAGUCUUGGAGCGGUUUCCGGCGGUCAUUCGUGGAGGAAAUCGUAGGGAAAUCCAAGGGAAGUCUAAGGAGGAUUCAGUAAAGGAUAGAUGGCGGAUAGACCUCCCAUCACGUACCGUCGUAGGGAGACGAUGGGCGAAGGUUUUGUUUUGUUAUUUUGAUUAGAAGGAUUAGAGAUGGAAUGUAAGGAAUUGAUUUUUGGGCACCUUUCACUUUUUUGUAAACUUUAUGUUAAAUUAUUAUGUUGAUGUGUUGAAAGGAAGAAAUGAAAAAUUUUA